rnacentral:rRNA from 1 species
AAUCAACGCUGGCGGCGUGCCUAACACAUGCAAGUCGAACGCGAAAGCCCCGCAAGGGGCAAGUAGAGUGGCAAACGGGUGAGUAACACGUGGGUGACCUGCCUUCGAGCGGGGGAUAACGUCCCGAAAGGGACGCUAAUACCGCAUAACAUCCUGCCUUUGAAGAGGUGGAGAUCAAAGCUGGGGAUCGCAAGACCCGGCACUUGAAGAGGGGCCCGCGUCUGAUUAGCUAGUUGGNGGGGUAAUGGCCUACCAAGGCAACGAUCAGUAUCCGGCCUGAGAGGGCGGACGGACACACUGGGACUGAGACACGGCCCAGACUCCUACGGGAGCAGCAGUGGGGAAUUGUUCGCAAUGGGCGCAAGCCUGACGACGCAACGCCGCGUGGAGGAUGAAG